rnacentral:rRNA from 1 species
UGUAAGUGCAGCGAUGCAUUGAGCUAACCAGUACUAAUGACCCGAGAGGCUUAACCUUACAACACCAAAGGUGUU